CUCAAACUAUUCAUACCCACUGACAUUACUGUGUUACUCCCGGGACUGCAAGAGCCAGCCUGGCCUGUGUGAUGGAGAUCAUUUGUGUACUCAUUCUCACUAUAUGUGACUCAGGCUGAAGUCAAUCAAUGUAUCGCAUUUCUCCUGGCCCCGGUGAUUGCUUUGUGGAUGGCACCACGGUCUCAAUCAGAGCCAACAGGAUGAUUCUCCUCCUUCAAUGAAUCAGGGCUGAGAGCUGCUCUGAACUACCAAUAGAGUUACCAAUGGGUAG